GCCCCUCCUACCAUCACCAGCACAGCAUAAAGAGAGAGACUCCGCCCACUCUGGAUCUAAAACACUGCCAGCAAAACCUACACCACCACAGUGGGUGGUAUCUCCAGCAGAAAAAGCCAAAUAUGAUGACUUAUUCGCCAAGACAGACAGUGACAUGGAUGGCUUGGUAUCUGGUGCUGAGAUCCGAGAUAUAUUUCUAAAGACUGGUUUGCCAUCUGCCACUUUGGCCCGCAUUUGGGAGCUUUGUGAUAUAGGAGACGUUGGGAAACUGAGCCGAGAUCAGUUUGCAUUAGCUCUAUAUCUAAUCAAUCAGAAGCUGUCAAAGGGAAUAGACCCACCCCAGACACUCUCUCCAGAAAUGAUCCCUCCUUCUGAUAGACUGGCAC